ACCAGGACCAUGUGCGCUUGCUAUGUGUAGAAAACCUGUCCAGUUUAAAUUAAAGGUGGAAGGAGUUAAAAUUCGGGUCUAUACCACGUUGAUGUUGUGCCGUUUUAAAGAUUUCCUAAUUUCUACCAAAAAACUAAUUGGUGCCAGAUAUCUUAUGAUCUCUUGAAGCAAAAUAAGAGGCAAGUUCGUUGAGGUAGACGAGACGAGAGACCACACAGAUGAUUCAGGCCUGGCUGGAGGGACGUAUUGGCGUUGUUCUCAAAAAGUUUGGCAUGGCUUACUGUGUCGAAUGCCUGCGAUAGGUCCAGUGCCACGAGCACCGUCCUAUCACAAGGUCUGGGCUGAUUGAAGCCACGGCAAAUGUAUGCAGUCUUCGAAAUCCAUGCUGAUGCUCGGCGAAUGGAAAUUCUCCAACGAGGCUCGGUAGGAGUAGUCUCUCAAGCGUCUUGGCUACUGGCUUCAGUAGCGGGAUUACUCUGCCCAUCUUCCGAACUCGGGUACUAUAAGAGAUUUCAAAGACAGUUGAGGACAGUCGUAAGGUACUCGAUCCAGAUUUUUCAACAUCAGUGUAGAGAUUCCGACGGGGCCCAACACCUUCGAUGGCUUGGCGCCACGGAUGACAUUCGUAACAUCGUCCACGGUAAAUUGGGAUGGUUGUCCAUCGGCCCGGAGACCACGGAUACGACGAAUGGCUCGGGUCUCGGGAUGCACAAUAAAUUGACGGCGGAUCUAUUCGGAUGAGUCGCAGAUACGUCGCCAAAAGUGACUGAGAUUUUGUCAUCCCGUCUACCCGAGUUCGAGAGUGACCUAACAGUAGACCACAGUACCUAAAUUACGUUGCUCCAAGUGUUCCAGCCACAAAUUUUGCUUAAGUUCGUUUAGUACACCAUCAUGCUCGUCUGCGAGUACCACUGCCUGUGCUGGGACAUGGGUAUUCGACCGACUAGUAUAAAGCGAGCGGCUGCUUCGUUUAUGAUGUUUUCGAAUUUCCACUCGGCAACUAGCACAUUUGAGGGGGGUGUCAGUUCAUGUGAAGCAGCGAUUGGUGUACUCUCUAAAGUCGACCCAAUUGGCCUUUUUCUGAUUGAUAAACGUCCGGCGCUCAGAGGUUCUGAGUUCGGGUGGUCGGUCGAUGGUGACAUUUAUGGGGAGGUGGUCUGAUCCCAAGGAAAUGACUGCUUGCAAGGUUGCGUUACUCAGGAGAUCAGGGGAUGCAAUGGAAAUGUCUGGCCAGCUGCUGCACCUCCUCAUAAACCUAGUGGGGGCAUCCUCAUUCACCGUACAAAACGUGGAGCCUUCAAUCUGCUCUGCCAAAGCUAUGCCCCGCUGUUCGUUACCUAGGGGAGAAUGCCAUGAAACGGAAUGCGCAUUAAAGUCUCCUUGAACCAGACGAUUAUGGCCAGACAUAGCGUAGCCCACUUAUUUCGGGCUUGUAAGAUUGGCCAUUAACAAGGGUGUGAAGUUAAAGUUGUUUUGAACCAGGAAUGGGUGAGAUUGAAACACAAAAUUAAAAUCAUUAUUUCUGCGGGAAUUUUGGGUGGAUUUUAAAAAAAUUUACAUCCAAAGAAAGCUUAAAUUGAGGAAGAAUCUGUUUCAGUUAGUUUCACUUCUAUAUCUUUAUUUGUGCAGCUGUGAAUUGACACACAAUUUGAGAAUCUGUUUCAGUUGGUUUCACUUCUAUAUCUUCAUUUGUGCAGCUGUGGAUUGACACACAAUUUUCGCAAAAAAUCUGAGAGGCGUUUUUCGGGCAUUUCUAGAAAAGAUUAAAAAAACAAAAGCGACUUUCGAAAGAAACCUAAGGGAGCAGAAUUCCCCAAAGUAAACAACUUUUCUGAAAUCGUUAUAGAAAUUUACAUAUAUUGUUUUUAAUUAAUUGUUGGUCAUACGAACCGCAGUUUGGACUUUUCUGGAGUAAGGGGGAGUACUAUUUCACCAUGUAAUCAGCUUUUCGGUAGCUGAAACAUACACCCGCAAAAUAGAGGCCUAUAUUUGUAUAAACUUUGCGGGCCACAUUUUGGACAUUCCUGGGAUUGAAAAAAAAAGUGGCCCUCAAAUGAAAGUCCCAAGGAAGCAGAAUCCGCCAAUGUAUUGAUGUUGACUGAACUCGUUAUAGAAAUCGAGAUAUUAAAAUUUAUUUGAAUGGGCAUGCAAACAUCAGUUUGGACAUCUCUGGAAGGAAUUCUUUAAAAAUUUUGGUAUGUAUAGUACUGUCCCUACUAUUUCACCAUGUAAUCAGCUUUUCGGUAGCUGAAACAUACAUCCACAAAAUAGAGACCUACAUUUGUAUUAACUUUGCGGGCCACAUUUUGGACAUUUCUGGGAUUAAAAUAAAAAUCCGCCAAUGUAUUGAUGUUGACUGAACUCGUUAUAGAAAUCGAAUAGGCAUGCGAACAUCAGUUUGGACAUCUCUGGAAGGAGUUUUUUAGUAAUUUUGGUAUGUAUGGAAAGGUAUGGGGAGUACCUUUAACCAUGUAAUCAGCUUUCAGGUAGCUGAAACAUACACCCCCAAAAUAGAGGCCUACAUUUGUAUAACUUUGAGGAUUCUGAAUUCGUUAUAGAAAUCGAGAUAUUUCAAUUUUGAUGAAUGGGCAUGGGAGCUACCGUUUGAACAUCUCUUUUCCUAAAAAUAUUAUAUAUUUGGAAAGCUAAAGGUAGCACAAAGCUCCAUAUAAUGGAUCAUCAAAAAAAUUUAUUAAAUUGUGGAUAACUGAAAAUAGAAUCUAAACACCAAAAUCCACCACGUGCAGGAAGUCCACCUUUAAAACGCAAAUAAUAAAUUUUAUUUAUGCAAACGCCACACUGGAACACUAACCUUCGACCUAACCACGGCCCUAGUUUCUGGUGUUUAAAGACGCCUAACCACAAACUACAAUUAUUGCUUGGAACGCCAGUCAAUGAAGUGACAAUACUUAGAAGAACAAACGCCAUUCACUCUUUGUGUGGUUGUUUGUGUACUAUGAAAUCAUCAAAGAAAAAAGCGCACCUAAAUAAAAAAAAUAAACUAGAUUCUAAAAAUAGAAUAAUCCAGAGUUACAAAUUAUUCUUAUUGGCCGCUACGCAAUUGUUCAGACCUUAGUUGUUUUGAGCAAACGACUCGUAUAUAAAAUGACAAAACGACUCGUUUGGCACAAAAUGCGCGCGAGCUCAAAAAAAUGCCUAAAUGUGCUAAAUAUUGCCUGGAUUGCCUGCCAAUUUUUCCAAAAAUCAACAAAAUUUUACAGAUAAAGAGCAAGAAGAAAUAAAUCUUAA